CUUAUUUCAUUGCCGUGCACGGAGGCGGGAGGGGGGGUGCGGGGGGGGGGACCCCCGCUCCCUUCCCCAUCACGGGCACCUACCUUCAUCUCCUCGUUGAUCUCCCGCUUCACCGGAGCGGCAGGACCUCGCGGAGACCCUCGAGAAGGCUCUGCCGGCAGCGAGGAGCUGCAGGAGUCAGCCGCAGAGAGGGUCAUGCCGUGGGCUCGGUCCAUUCUGCGCACCCCAGGAACACAAGGUCUGGCCUCAGACUCACCAGCAGCAAGCAUGAGAAGAAGCUGAGAUCUAUUUGUUUCUCGUCUGUAAUAUUUUAAAAUACAGUGAGAUCUGAAACUUGGGGAAACUGACUUGCGACUCCACAGGUAACCUCCAAAGGAUGGUGCUUAAUAAGGGAGUUUCCCUCCUUCUGCGCCCCAUCACCACCGGCGACCUCAUCUCUAUGAUUUGUUCACCGUAUUCUAUCACAAACAAAUCGGUACGGUUGAGCUCUCAUCAAGUAUGGGAGAUAUUCCCAGAAUCUCAAGGUAUUCUCUCACACAGUAGGGAUAAGACAGGCAAUGCAAGGGGAAGGCUACACAAUCUCAUGUAGCCUCGGAGCUCUUUGAAACCUUUAGCUGGAAAAAGCAAGCCAACCUCAGACAACUAUUCUGCUUUGAAUCACCACUACCCUGCUGGUACAUGAAGCCAUUCUGAUGAAAAAGGCAAAAUUCAUUCUUGUAUUAGGCACGUAUCACUAGUUUCUCUGUAGAGCUGAUAGCAGAGUUUUAAUGAAAACCCUAGAACUUCUGCUAAACAGAGUAUUGCCUCAAAUGGUUCUUGUUCCGUGAAACAUAAGAAGGCUACUUCUCAACACUUACUAUAGAUAUUGUAAUAAAGCACUGUUUCGCUGCAUAAAUUUAA